GAUGAACGCUGGCGGCGUGCCUAAUACAUGCAAGUCGAGCGAACAGACGCGGAGCUUGUUCCGCUGACGAUAGCGGCGGACGGGUGAGUAACACGUGGAUCACCUCCCUAUAAGACUGGGAUAACUUCGGGACACCGGAGCUAAUACCGGAUAAUAUUUUGAACCGCAUGGUUCAAUUGUGAAAGACGGUUUUGCUGUCACUUAUCGAUGGAUCCGCGCCGCAUUAGCUAGUUGGUACGGUAACGGCCUACCACGGCAACUAUGCGUAGACGAACUGGGAGGCGGAUAGGCCGCACGGGAACGGGGACAGGGACCAUACGACUGCGGGAGGCAGCAGUAGGCAAUCGGCCGCAAUAGUCGAGAACCUUACGGAGUAACGCCGCGUGUGUUGUGAAGGUCUUCGGAGCGUGAAACUCUGUUAUGGGUGAAGAACAAAUGUGUAAGGAAAUGUGCACGUCGUGACGGUACCUGAACAGAAAGCCACGGCUAACUACGUG
rnacentral:rRNA from 1 species